AGGAAUAUUGGUCAAUGGGCGUAAGCCUGAACCAGCCAAGUAGCGUGAGGGAAGACUGCCCUAUGGGUUGUAAACCUCUUUUGUGCGGGGAUAAAGUGUGGGACGUGUCCCAUAUUGCAGGUACCGCACGAAUAAGGACCGGCUAAUUCCGUGCCAGCAGCCGCGGUAAUACGGAAGGUCCGGGCGUUAUCCGGAUUUAUUGGGUUUAAGGGGAGCGCAGGCCGUCCUUUAAGCGUGCUGUGAAAUGCCGCGGCUCAACCGUGGCACUGCAGCGCGAACUGGAGGACUUGAGUACGCACGAGGUAGGCGGAAUUCGUGGUGUAGCGGUGAAAUGCUUAGAUAUCACGAAGAACUCCGAUUGCGAAGGCAGCUUACCGGAGCGCAACUGACGCUGAGGCUCGAAAGCGCGGGUAUCGAACAGGAUUAGAUACCCUGGUAGUCCGCGCGGUAAACGAUGGAUGCCCGCCGUUGGGAUUUAGAUUUCAACGGCCAAGCGAAAGCGUUAAGCAUCCCACCUGGGGAGUACGCCGGCAACGGUGAAACUCAAAGGAAUUGACGGGGGCCCGCACAAGCGGAGGAACAUGUGGUUUAAUUCGAUGAUACGCGAGGAACCUUACCCGGGCUUGAAUUGCAGGAGAACGAUCCAGAGAUGGUGAGGCCCUUCGGGGCUCCUGUGAAGGUGCUGCAUGGUUGUCGUCAGCUCGUGCCGUGAGGUGUCGGCUCAAGUGCCAUAACGAGCGCAACUCCUGUCCAUAGUUGCCAUCAGGUCGUGCUGGGCACUCUGUGGAGACUGCCGCCGUAAGGUGUGAGGAAGGUGGGGAUGACGUCAAAUCAGCACGGCCCUUACGUCCGGGGCUACACACGUGUUACAAUGGGGCAUACAGCGAGUUGGAUGUGCGCAAGUACGUCCGGAUCAAUAAAGUGCCUCUCAGUUCGGACUGGGGUCUGCAACCCGACCCCACGAAGCUGGAUUCGCUAGUAAUCGCGCAUCAGCCAUGGCGCGGUGAAUACGUUCCCG
rnacentral:rRNA from 1 species